rnacentral:rRNA from 1 species
UCUGGCUCUUUCAGAGUCCGAGUUGUAAUUUGAAGAAGGUAUCUUUGGGUCUGGCUCUUGUCUAUGUUUCUUGGAACAGAACGUCACAGAGGGUGAGAAUCCCGUGCGAUGAGAUGAUCCAGGCCUAUGUAAAGUUCCUUCGAAGAGUCGAGUUGUUUGGGAAUGCAGCUCUAAGUGGGUGGUAAAUUCCAUCUAAAGCUAAAUAUUGGCGAGAGACCGAUAGCGAACAAGUACAGUGAUGGAAAGAUGAAAAGAACUUUGAAAAGAGAGUGAAAAAGUACGUGAAAUUGUUGAAAGGGAAGGGCUUGAGAUCAGACUUGGUAUUUUGUAUGUUACUUCUUCGGGGGUGGCCUCUACAGUUUAUCGGGCCAGCAUCAGUUUGGGCGGUAGGAGAAUUGCGUUGGAAUGUGGCACGGCUUCGGUUGUGUGUUAUAGCCUUCGUYGAUACUGCCAGCCUAGACUGAGGACUGCGGUUUAUACCUAGGAUGUUGGCAUAAUGAUCUUAAGUCGCCCGUCUUGA